UACUAUACUGAAUAGCAAGAGAAAACUGGAAUAUUAUAAGAUAAAGUCUUUAAAUUCAAAGAAUUUGGCGGUAAUUUAGUCUUUCCAGAGGAACCUGUUUUUUAAUCGAUAAACCACGAAGAAUCUUACUUGUCUUAUUUUAAGAGUUUGUAUACCGUCAUUAUCAGAUAAUAUUUAAAGAUCAAUUAUUAAACUUUAAAAAAUAAAAAAAAUUAGAUCAAGGUGCAGCUUAUAGAUAAGUUAAAAUGGGUUACAAUUAAGUAAAUAUAAUCAUGAAAUAAGAUUUGAAAGCAAUCUUAGGAAGGAGGAUUUGGUUGUAAAAGGAAUUAGUAUGGUAAAAAGAUAUAAGCUCUAAAUUAU
rnacentral:rRNA from 1 species